rnacentral:rRNA from 1 species
UACGUAGGGUGCGAGCGUUGUCCGGAAUUAUUGGGCGUAAAGAGCUUGUAGGCGGCUUGUCGCGUCUGCUGUGAAAAUCCGAGGCUCAACCUCGGACUUGCAGUGGGUACGGGCAGGCUAGAGUGUGGUAGGGGGAGACUGGAAUUCCUGGUGUAGCGGUGAAAUGCGCAGAUAUCAGGAGGAACACCGAUGGCGAAGGCAGGUCUCUGGGCCACUACUGACGCUGAGAAGCGAAAAGCAUGGGGAGCGAACAGG